rnacentral:rRNA from 1 species
UUGGGGGAAUGUAUAGUCCUCUUAUGAGGCUAGUUGUGUUUUGAAUAAGGUGAUAAAUUAUAAUAUAAGCAUAACACCAACUACGUUGGAUAAAAUUCUAGAUAGAAUACUGAUUAUGACUAUUUUCUAUCUAUAUGUCUUGACCAAAUUACGUGCCAGCAGUCGCGGUAAUACGUAGAAGACUAGUGUUAUUCAUCUUUAAUAGGUUUAAAGGGUACCUAGACGGUAUUAUUAACCCACAUCAGGGAAAUGUUUUUACUAGAGUUUGAUGUAGGAAGGGAGAAUUCAGGGAGUAGAGAUGAAAUCCUUUGAUACUCUGACGACUGGUAAUGGCGAAAGCAUCCUUCUAUGUAAUAACUGACGUUAAGGGACGAAGGCUUGGGGAGCAAACAGGAUUAGAUACCCUGGUAGUCCAAGCAGAUAAUUAUGAAUGCCAUAGACUAGAUAUAUUUUAGUUUAUAAAUGAAAGUGUAAGCAUUCCACCUCAAGAGUACUGUGGCAACGCUGGAACUGAAAUCAUUAGACCGUUUCUGAGAACAGUAGUGAAGUAUGUUAUAUAAUUCGAUAGUCCUCGUAAAACCUUACCACAACUCGAAUGGUGUCCUAAAUUAAUAUAUUAAACUAAUAGGAUGUUACAAGUGUUGCACGGUUGUCUUCAGCUAAUGUCGUGAGAUUGUGGUUAGUUCCAUUAAAUUAGCGUAAACCCCGGCUUUAUUUUUUAAUUAUUAUGAUAAAGCAGUUCGUCACUAUAUAGAUAUUUGAUAA